rnacentral:rRNA from 1 species
GACGAACGCUGGCGGCGUGCUUAACACAUGCAAGUCGAACGGUGAAGCUCCAGCUUGCUGGAGUGGAUCAGUGGCGAACGGGUGAGUAACACGUGAGCAACCUGCCCCUGACUCUGGAAUAAGCGCUGGAAACGGCGUCUAAUACUGGAUACGAGAAGGGUCCGCAUGGGCACUUUCUGGAAAGUUUUUCGGUUGGGGAUGGGCUCGCGGCCUAUCAGCUUGUUUGUGAGGUAAUGGCUCACCAAGGCGACGACGGGUAGCCGGCCUGAGAGGGCGACCGGCCACACUGGGACUGAGACACGGCCCAGACUCCAACGGGAGGCAGCAGUGGGGAAUAUUGCACAAUGGGCGAAAGCCUGAUGCAGCGACGCCGCGUGAGGGAUGACGGCCUUCGGGUUGUAAACCUCUUUCAGCAGGGAAGAAGCGAAAGUGACGGUACCUGCAGAAGAAGCACCGGCUAACUACGUG